rnacentral:lncRNA from 1 species
GUCAGUGUAAUAUCUCAGAGUCUUAAAAAACAUAAAAAGGCACAUCGUGUCAGCAGGUGAGGAGUUAUAACUGAAAACCGACAAACUCUGAUAAAACAUUUUCGCAUAACGAAACGAAAUGUAACAAUAAUUAACACCCCGAAGGUAUGUUUACUAUUUAAGUUUGUUUCAGGGACUUUUUGCGCACCGUACUCCGUGUUGCACUCAUGAAUCCGCGACUGCCGUGUGCAGGAUGCGUGACCCGCGCGUAUACGCCUGUGCGUGUGCAUGACGCGCGUGCGCACUGUUCGCUUUUGCACGCGGCCUCCUAUCUGGAGCGUUAUAAAAGCGGUACUCAGAAGCGCUAUCGGCAGAGCGAUUUUUUACGGAACGGCAACUAUGGAUCCGUGUGCCUGUGCCAAAGGCUGCUGCUCUUGCUGUCCAUCUGACUGCAGCAAGUGUGCUUCUGGCUGUGUGUGCAAGGAUGGCAUCUGUGGAGCAAGUUGCUGCCAGUGACUUCACCCCUGGAAUCAAGCUACAACAAUGAUGUAUGCUGGUUGAACUUGUACUUUUGUUUUGUAUAUGUGAGUUCUAAAAUAAAAUGUAUUGUCUCUGACUUGGCUUUGUUUCC